ACGCUAGCGGCAGGCCUAAUACAUGCAAGUCGAGCGGUAGUGAGCUUCGGUUCAGUACAGCGGCAAACGGGUGCGUAACGCGUAAGCAACCUGCUCACUACUGGGGGAUAGCCCGGCGAAAGCGGGGGUAAACCCGCAUGGUCCUCUGAAGUCACCUGGCUUUAUAGGUAAACAUUAAUGGGUAGUGGAGGGGCUUGCGUCUGAUUAGCUAGUUGGCGGGGUAAGGGCCCACCAAGGCGACGAUCAGUAGGGGUUCUGAGAGGAUUGGCCCCCACAUGGGUACUGAGACACGGACCCAACUCCUACGGGAGGCAGCAGUAGGGAAUAUUGGGCAAUGGAGGCAACUCUGACCCAGCCAUGCCGCGUGGAGGAUGACGGCGCUCAGCGUUGUAAACUCCUUUUAACUGGGAAGAACGGCGGGCCUGCGGGCCUGUGUGACGGUACCAGUGGAAUAAGCACCGGCUAACUCCGUGCCAGCAGCCGCGGUAAUACGGAGGGUGCAAGCGUUGUCCGGAUUUAUUGGGUUUAAAGGGUGCGUAGGUGGGAUUGCAAGUCUGGUUUGAAAGCUGGUGGCUCAACCAUCAGAUGUGG
rnacentral:rRNA from 1 species